CGUUUCUAUGGCAAUGUGAUCAGACAAUACUAUGGCAUGUUUUUUCAUCCUAAAAAUGUAAUAUUUUAGGAUGAAAAAACAUGCCAUAGUCUUGUUUGAUCAAAUUGCCAUAGAAUAGGA